GACCUGCAUUGCAUGUAAAAAAAUAAUAUAUAUAUAUAUAUAUAUAUAUAUAUAUAUAUAUAUAUAUAUAUAUAUAUAUAUAUAUAAAUUAAAACCAACGCCAGAGCAUCAUCGUUGAAUUUACGGUAAAAUUUAAAAAGUCUGUCCCAAUAACAUCAAAGAGGCACAACUUGCACAAUCGCAUUGGAAACUGCGAAGUGCAUGCACUGGGAAGAUCGUGUUGUUUAACCCGACGGCUUUAGGACCUUCCAGAUUCCAGAAGCGUCGAGCUUUAUUUGUGGAUUGGGUUGCAUCCUGCUCGCUGUUUCGCUACAAUGUCAGCAGCACGCCUGAUUUUACUCAUCGCUUGCUGCAUAACGUUUUUCCACUCUGGAAAUGCUCAGCUGGGAGAGUCUAGACUACAUAAUAGACCUUAUGAAGUCCUGCUGAAGGAAAAUCUAGUUCUUCUAAUAAGUGUUCUGUGCACACUGCUGGUGGUCAUGAUUGGAAUGGCAGUGUGUGUCUACAAACCUCUUCGGCGCAGGUGACAAGCCCUCAGGAUGAAAGACGCCGGGAACUGAACACUACUAUGGAGAAGGCUUGGUUUUGAAUAUUAAUGAGCCGAGCCAAGCCAUUGGACGAGAGCAACGCAACGUCAGCACGAACUAUUUAAUAGUCGGGAUCCAACCCUUCGCUAUUGGAAGGUUGAGCAUGACCUAAUUAAUACUGAUAAAACCAUUGGCGUCUUCCCUGCAACGCUUUAAUUAAAUCUAGUCAGUAAUCAAGUCCAGAUCUCCCUAAACCUUAUACUUUAAGUGUUUAAAACUGAAGACUGUUUCAAACACAUGCGUACUAAAUUAGGAUGUUUUUUUUAUUACAGUUUAUAAGCUGCUAAAAUGUUUACAGUCUGAAUUUAUACGUAUUUAUUUUUGUAUUUAAUAUUUUCAUGUAUUUAUUGUAAGAUGUUUAUUUGAUUGUUUUUUUUGAAUGUCAGACCUCUUGAACAAAUUAAAGCCAAUGCCUGAAUCAGUA